UACGGAGGGGGCGAGCGUUAUUCGGAAUUAUUGGGCGUAAAGGGCGCGUAGGCGGCUGUACAAGUCAAAGGUGAAAUCCCUCGGCUCAACUGAGGAACUGCCUUUGAAACUGUACGGCUUGAGGCCGGGAGGGGGUAGCGGAAUUCCCAGUGUAGCGGUGAAAUGCGUAGAUACUGGGAGGAACACCAGCGGCGAAGGCGGCUACCUGGACCGGUUCUGACGCUGAGGCGCGAAAGCGUGGGUAGCAAACAGG
rnacentral:rRNA from 1 species